rnacentral:rRNA from 1 species
UACGUAGGGGGGCAAGCGUUGUCCGGAAUCAUUGGGCGUAAAGAGCGUGUAGGCGGCCCGGUAAGUCCGCUGUGAAAGUCCAGGGCUCAACCCCUGGGAUGCCGGUGGAUACUGUCGGGCUCGAGUCCGGAAGAGGCGAGUGGAAUUCCUGGUGUAGCGGUGAAAUGCGCAGAUAGUCAGGAGGAACACCUACGGCGAAGGCAGCUCGCUGGGACGGUACUGACGCUGGAGACGCGAAAGCG